UACGAAGGGGGCUAGCGUUGCUCGGAAUCACUGGGCGUAAAGGGUGCGUAGGCGGGUCUUUAAGUCAGGGUGAAAUCCUGGAGCUCAACUCCAGAACUGCCUUUGAUACUGAGGAUCUUGAGUUCGGGAGAGGUGAGUGGAACUGCGAGUGUAGAGGUGAAAUUCGUAGAUAUUCGCAAGAACACCAGUGGCGAAGGCGGCUCACUGGCCCGGUACUGACGCUGAGGUGCGAAAGCGUGGGGAGCAAACAGG
rnacentral:rRNA from 1 species